GCUGGCGGCAGGCCUAACACAUGCAAGUCGAGCGGUAACAGUUUCUAGCUUGCUAGAAGAUGACGAGCGGCGGACGGGUGAGUAACGCGUAGAAAUCUACCUAGUAGUGGGGGAUAGCCCAGAGAAAUUUGGAUUAAUACCGCAUACGCCCUACGGGGGAAAGCGGGGGAUCUUCGGACCUCGUGCUAUUAGAUGAGUCUGCGUCGGAUUAGCUUGUUGGUGAGGUAAUGGCUCACCAAGGCGACGAUCCGUAGCUGGUCUGAGAGGAUGACCAGCCACACUGGAACUGAGACACGGUCCAGACUCCUACGGGAGGCAGCAGUAGGGAAUCUUCCACAAUGGGCGCAAGCCUGAUGCAGCCAUGCCGCGUGUGUGAAGAAGGCCUUAGGGUUGUAAAGCACUUUCAGCAGUGAGGAAAGGGGUGUCGUUAAUAGCGCCAUCCUGUGACGUUAACUGCAGAAGAAGGACCGGCUAACUCCGUG
rnacentral:rRNA from 1 species